rnacentral:rRNA from 1 species
UCCCGGCCCUGCCCUCACGGGCGGAGCGCCCGCCGGAGGAUACCAAACUCUAUUUUAACGACGUUUCUUCUGAGUGGCACAAGCAAAUAAUUAAAACUUUCAACAACGGAUCUCUUGGUUCUGGCAUCGAUGAAGAACGCAGCGAAAUGCGAUAAGUAAUGUGAAUUGCAGAAUUCAGUGAAUCAUCGAAUCUUUGAACGCACAUUGCGCCCGCCAGCAUUCUGGCGGGCAUGCCUGUUCGAGCGUCAUUUCAACCCUCAAGCUCUGCUUGGUGUUGGGGCCCUACGGUUGACGUAGGCCCUUAAAGGUAGUGGCGGACCCUCUCGGAGCCUCCUUUGCGUAGUAACUAACGUCUCGCACUGGGAUUCGGAGGGACUCUUGCCGUAAAACCCCCAAAUUUUUAAAGGUUGACCUCGGAUCAGGUAGGAAUACCCGCUGAACUUAAGCAUAU